AGAGUUUGAUCAUGGCUCAGAACGAACGCUGGCGGCAGGCCUAACACAUGCAAGUCGAACGCUCCGCAAGGAGAGUGGCAGACGGGUGAGUAACGCGUGGGAACCUUCCCAGUGGUACGGAAUAGCUCAGGGAAACUUGAGGUAAUACUGUAUGAGCCCGAAAGGGGAAAGAUUUAUCGCCAUUGGAUGGGCCCGCGUAGGAUUAGCUAGUUGGUGAGGUAAUGGCUCACCAAGGCGACGAUCCUUAGCUGGUUUGAGAGAAUGACCAGCCACACUGGGACUGAGACACGGCCCAGACUCCUACGGGAGGCAGCAGUGGGGAAUAUUGGACAAUGGGCGCAAGCCUGAUCCAGCCAUGCCGCGUGAGUGACGAAGGCCUUAGGGUUGUAAAGCUCUUUUGGCGGGGACGAUAAUGACGGUACCCGCAGAAUAAGCCCCGGCUAACUUCGUGCCAGCAGCCGCGGUA
rnacentral:rRNA from 1 species